AUGGGGCACCAGCACCAGAUGUUCAACGACCCCUUCGCGAGCAGCAUGUCGUCACUGGAGGAGGACAUGUUCUCCGGUGCCGGCGGCUACCACCACCUCACGCCUUCCAUGCAGUGGCCGGGCUUGGAUAACGACAUACCGUCAGCACCGGCUGCCAACAACGCCACCUCCUCCGGCGGCUCUGGAUCACACCGAAAGAUGAGUCACAACGCGUACGAGCGUGACCGCCGCAAGCAGCUCAACGAGCAAUAUUCCUCCCUCCGCUCCCUCCUCCCCGAUGACGACCACAAUAAGAAGAUGAGCAUUCCGACCACGGUGUCGCGGGUGAUCAAGUACAUCCCGGAGCUGCAGAAGGAGGUAGACGGCCUGGAGAAGAAGAAGGAGGAGCUGAGGCGGGCCAGCUACGAGCAAGGCGCCAUGAGGCAGAACACGGCCCCGAUCGUGUCCGCCACCUGCCUCGACGACAGGGAGAUCAUGGUCCAGGUCAGCCAGGUGAGCACCAUGGCCGGAGCUCUGCCCAUGUCCAAGUGCAUCAAGGUGCUGGAGAAUCAAGGCCUCCGCCUCAUAAAUUCCUCGACUUCCGCGUUCCAGAACAGGACGUUCUACAGCCUCCAUCUUCAGAGAACCCAGCGAACAAUGAGCAAGGAGGGCCAAACAUUUUGUAACGAACUGGAGAACGUCGUGAAGCAAAAGGCGGGACAACAUCUGCAUCAUUAG
rnacentral:rRNA from 1 species